UACGUAGGGGGCAAGCGUUGUCCGGAAUUAUUGGGCGUAAAGGGCUCGUAGGCGGUCCAUCGCGUCGGGAGUGAAAAGCUGGGGCUUAACCCCAGUCCUGCUUCCGAUACGGGUGGACUAGAGGUAGGUAGGGGAGAACGGAAUUCCUGGUGUAGCGGUGAAAUGCGCAGAUAUCAGGAGGAACACCAAUGGCGAAGGCAGCUCUCUGGGACGGUACUGACGCUGAGACGCGAAAGCGUGGGGAGCGAACAGG
rnacentral:rRNA from 1 species